rnacentral:piRNA from 1 species
CCGGAAGAGAAGGAACAGAAGAAAGGGAA